rnacentral:lncRNA from 1 species
CACAUGUCCCCAAGGCUCUACUCCAUGAGGCCCAUGGUGUCUGCUACUUGCCAGAUACUUAAAGACACACCCCUUUCUGGGUGUGGUCGUGCACAUCUAUAAUCCCAGCUAUUCUGGAGGCUGAGGCAGGAGGAUCAGGAGUUCAAAGCCAGCCUCAGCAACGUAGUGGGGGCCCUAAAGCAACUCAGUGAGACCCUAUCUGUAAAUGAAAUUUGAAAAAGGGUUAGGGACUGGACAUGGCUCAGUGGUUAAGCACCCCUGGGUUCAAUCCCUGGUACCAAAAAAGAAAAGAAAAAAGAAAAACCCUGACGCACCCCUCCCUCCAUUCCACUUGCCUUUUCAGAGGUGAGGUCUGUUUGUUCUCCCCAUGCAGCCAUGGAGAAAGCCCAGGGAGCCCAUGUGAAUUGAGCAUAAGUAGGAAGAGUCCUUGUUCUCUAGGUGUGGCACCCAGUUGCCCCUCUGGACUGUCUCCCUUGCUUUGUAGAGAGACAGUCCUACAAAGCACAGAACCUGUUCCUAAGCCAUUCAUUUCUGUCUUCCUAGUCAUUGUCCCAGAAUGCCUGGUUCCUUUAGUAGAGUCCCAAAACUAAGAUUUGAC